AAUAGAUACCCAGGUAGUCCACGCCGUAAACGAUGAGUGCUAAGUGUUAGAGGGUUUCCGCCCUUUAGUGCUGCAGCUAACGCAUUAAGCACUCCGCCUGGGGAGUACGGCCGCAAGGCUGAAACUCAAAGGAAUUGACGGGGGCCCGCACAAGCGGUGGAGCAUGUGGUUUAAUUCGAAGCAACGCGAAGAACCUUACCAGGUCUUGACAUCCUCUGCCAACCCUAGAGAUAGGGCGUUCCCCCUUCGGGGGACAGAGUGACAGGUGGCGCAUGGUUGUCGUCAGCUUGUGUCGUGAGAUGUUGGGUUAAGUCCCACAACGAGCGCAACCCUUGAUCUUAGUUGCCAGCAUUUAGUUGGGCACUCUAAGGUGACUGCCGGUGACAAACCGGAGGAAGGUGGGGAUGACGUCAAAUCAUCAUGCCCCUUAUGACCUGGGCUACACACGUGCUACAAUGGAUGGUACAAAGAGCUGCGAACCCGCGAGGGUAAGCGAAUCUCAUAAAGCCAUUCUCAGUUCGGAUUGUAGG
rnacentral:rRNA from 1 species